rnacentral:rRNA from 1 species
ACUGGGGUGAAGUCGUAACAAGGUAGCCGUAUCGGAAGGUUCGGCUGGAUCACCUCCUUUCUAAGGAGA